UACGUAACACCUCUGAUACAGUCACCACACAAGAGUAAAAGUAAUUUAAAGAGCACUGUGCACCAUUUACAACAAUUACAAGAUAGUGAAAAUUUAAAGACU